GCAGGGAGACCAGGGGAGCUGGCUGAGGGGCUUAGGGGAAACUGUGUCCUCGUGCCCGGAAAGGGAAAGCUCCUCUUUCUCUUGGCCUGUGGAGACGACUCUGGCUUAGCCGAACACGGGGAGGGCCGCCGCCCGGCCUCUGCCUCCCGCCCACCCCGCAGGCCGACUCCCUGCCCCGGGUCCGAGUCAGGGGCCCCGGGCGCAUAAACCUCCGGCAGCCGAUAGCCUCCACUGGACCGCGCGGCCUCCUGGUGUGCGGCGUCAGCUCCACCCACUCACAUCUGGUUCCGGGGUCGCGCUUCCUGCCACUUCCGGUUUGAAAAGGGGCCUCUUCGCGCAGGGAAAACCCCCCUGGCCCCAGGUGCUGAGGGUGGUGUGGAGGAGUCUCGGGCCCCACGGUGGCCCAGGAGACGCGUUCUGGAGGGACGGGGUCCAGCCAGGGGCCUCAGCAGCAGGUGGAGAGAACCGGCCCCUCCUGCCCCGCAGCCUCCCCGGAGGCUCUUGAGACCCGAGGACUUCACAGGCCAUGGGGACGCUUUCCACGCACGCAGGCCAGCUACGUGGCGUGAGCAGCGAGGGGCUCCCACACUGAGCUCUGGAACACUAGGGUAAUUUGAACCUGCAUCUGUGGAUUGUUCGUCUGUGUUUACAGAUAGAAGACAAGCUGCAAGAAACAGGAUUGGAUUUGUUAUUUGUAAGUCAAACCAGCUGUGAUCUCCUGUCUGUGGCUGCUUCCUUUGCAAACACCAAAUGUCACUUGUGGUUGGAGCUACUUUUCUUCCCAGAGAAUAGUGUUCCCCUCAUGUGGUCAGCUUUCUUCCUGUGCCUCUUCCCCCACCAGCUGCUCCCCCGCAAGGUGUCAGUCUGCUGGUUCAGCUGGGUCACUGUCCCAGCUGGCUCCAGGAGCUAGGGCACCCUUGGAAGGCUGUUCGGCUUGGGUACCUUUUCUACUUUUCUUUUAGAAAUCAACUAGAAGUUCAUUUCCCUGAAGUCCUAAAUCAAGAAUCACUUUGGGAAGAAAAAAAAAAAAAAAA